rnacentral:rRNA from 1 species
CGGGACGGGGUGGAGUAAUGUCUGGGAAACUGCCCGAUGGAGGGGGGUAACUACUGGAAACGGUAGCUAAUACCGCAUAAUGUCGCAAGACCAAAGAGGGGGACCUUCGGGCCUCUUGCCAUCGGAUGUGCCCAGAUGGGAUUAGCUAGUAGGUGGGGUAACGGCUCACCUAGGCGACGAUCCCUAGCUGGUCUGAGAGGAUGACCAGCCACACUGGAACUGAGACACGGUCCAG